rnacentral:ncRNA from 1 species
UAGUUCCUUCAGGGCAGGGUGUAAUUCCCGACCGGCGGUAAAGUCCGCGAGCCGAUUUUGGCUGACUUGGUGUAAUUCCAAGACCGACAGUAAAGUCUGGAUGAGAGAAGGCAAUU